rnacentral:piRNA from 1 species
UCCAAUGGUCUUAGGUGACCCCUGUUGU